AUACGGAGGGUGCAAGCGUUAAUCGGAAUUACUGGGCGUAAAGGGUUCGUAGGCGGUUAUUUAAGUCAGAUGUGAAAGCCCCGGGCUCAACCUGGGAACUGCAUCUGAUACUGGGUAACUAGAGUUUAAGAGAGGAGUGUGGAAUUUCCGGUGUAGCGGUGAAAUGCAUAGAGAUCGGAAGGAACAUCAGUGGCGAAGGCGGCACUCUGGCUUAAAACUGACGCUGAGGAACGAAAGCGUGGGUAGCAAACAGGAUUAGAAACCCGAGUAGUCC
rnacentral:rRNA from 1 species